UAGAGGAAGUAAAAGUCGUAACAAGGUUUCCGUAGGUGAACCUGCGGAAGGAUCAUUACCGAAUUGUCAACACGAGCUGUUGCUGGUCCUCAGACGAGGGCAUGUGCACGCUCUGUUUACACAUCCACUCACACCUGUGCACCCUCUGUAGUUCUAUGGUCUGAGGGGCUCUGUCCUCUCGCCGUGGCUCUAUGUCUUUACACACGCACUGUAAUAAAGUUUCAUGGAAUGCAUGACGCGUUUAACGCAAUACAAUACAACUUUCAGCAACGGAUCUCUUGGCUCUCGCAUCGAUGAAGAACGCAGCGAAAUGCGAUAAGUAAUGUGAAUUGCAGAAUUCAGUGAAUCAUCGAAUCUUUGAACGCACCUUGCGCCCUUUGGCUAUUCCAGAGGGCAUGCCUGUUUGAGUAUCAUGAACACCUCAACUCUCACGGUUUGCCGUGAUGAGCUUGGACUUUGGAGGUCUUGCCGGCCUGUGGUUGGCUCCUCUCAAAUGAAUCAGCUUGCCAGUGUUUGGUGGCAUCCCAGGUGUGAUAACUAUCUACGCUUGUGGCUUUCCACCAGGUAACCUUCAGCGAUGGAGGUUCGCUGGGGCUCACAAAUGUCUCUCCUAAGUGAGGACGGCUUCUUGAAUGUU
rnacentral:rRNA from 1 species